UGACAAAGAUAGGUGAUAAUGCAGGAA
rnacentral:piRNA from 1 species